rnacentral:rRNA from 1 species
AUACGGAGGGUCCGAGCGUUAUCCGGAAUCAUUGGGUUUAAAGGGUCCGUAGGCGGGAAUCUAAGUCAGUGGUGAAAUCUUGCAGCUCAACUGUAAAAUUGCCAUUGAUACUGGAUUUCUUGAAUUAGUGUGAAGUGGUUAGAAUGUGUAGUGUAGCGGUGAAACGCAUAGAUAUUACACAGAAUACCAAUUGCGAAGGCAGAUCACUAACACUAUAUUGACGCUAAGGGACGAAAGCGUGGGGAGCGAACAGGAUUAGAAACCCGGGUAGUCC